rnacentral:tRNA from 1 species
CCCUUGGUGGCACAAAAGGUAAAGCAUUUGGCUAUUAGCCAAAAAGUUGGUGAUUUGAACCCACCCAAAGGCA